rnacentral:rRNA from 1 species
UACGUAGGGUGCGAGCGUUAUUCGGAAUUACUGGGCGUAAAGCGUGCGCAGGCGGUUCGUUAAGUCAGAUGUGAAAGCCCCGGGCUCAACCUGGGAACUGCAUUUGAAACUGGCGGGCUUGAGUGUGGCAGAGGGGGGUGGAAUUCCGCGUGUAGCGGUGAAAUGCGUAGAUAUCUGGAGGAAUACCGGUGGCGAAGGCGGCAUCCUGGACCAUUACUGACACUGAACCGCGAAAGCUAGGGGAGCAAACGGG